GACGAACGCUGGCGGCGUGCUUAACACAUGCAAGUUGAACGGAAAGGCCUCUUUCGGGGGGUACUCGAGUGGCGAACGGGUGAGUAACACGUGAGUAACCUGCCCUUGACUUUGGGAUAACUUCAGGAAACUGGGGCUAAUACCGGAUAGGAGCUCCUGCUGCAUGGUGGGGGUUGGAAAGUUUCGGCGGUUGGGGAUGGACUCGCGGCUUAUCAGCUUGUUGGUGGGGUAGUGGCUUACCAAGGCUUUGACGGGUAGCCGGCCUGAGAGGGUGACCGGCCACAUUGGGACUGAGGUACGGCCCAGACUCCUACGGGAGGCAGCAGUGGGGAAUAUUGCACAAUGGGUGGAAGCCGGAUGCAGCAACGCCGUGUGCGGGAUGACGGCCUUCGGGUUGUAAACCGCUUUCGCUCAUGACGAAGCUUUGUGUGACGGUAGUGGGUAAAGAAGCACCGGCUAACUACGUG
rnacentral:rRNA from 1 species